rnacentral:rRNA from 1 species
GACGAACGCUGGCGGCGUGCUUAACACAUGCAAGUCGAACGGAAAGGCCCUGCUUUUGUGGGGUGCUCGAGUGGCGAACGGGUGAGUAACACGUGAGUAACCUGCCCUUGACUUUGGGAUAGCUUCAGGAAACUGGGGCUAAUACCGGAUAGGAGCUCCUGCUGCAUGGUGGGGGUUGGAAAGUUUCGGCGGUUGGGGAUAGACUCGCGGCUUAUCAGCUUGUUGGUGGGGUAGUGGCUUACCAAGGCUUUGACGGGUAGCCGGCCUGAGAGGGUGACCGGCCACAUUGGGACUGAGAUACGGCCCAGACUCCUACGGGAGGCAGCAGUGGGGAAUAUUGCACAAUGGGCGGAAGCCUGAUGCAGCAACGCCGCGUGCGGGAUGACGGCCUUCGGGUUGUAAACCGCUUUCGCCUGUGACGAAGCGUGAGUGACGGUAAUGGGUAAAGAAGCACCGGCUAACUACGUGCCAGCAGCCGCGGUGAUACGUAGGGUGCGAGCGUUGUCCGGAUUUAUUGGGCGUAAAGGGCUCGUAGGUGGUUGAUCGCGUCGGAAGUGUAAUCUUGGGGCUUAACCCUGAGCGUGCUUUCGAUACGGGUUGACUUGAGGAAGGUAGGGGAGAAUGGAAUUCCUGGUGGAGCGGUGGAAUGCGCAGAUAUCAGGAGGAACACCAGUGGCGAAGGCGGUUCCCUGGGCCUUUCCUGACGCUGAGGAGCGAAAGCGUGGGGAGCGAACAGGCUUAGAUACCCUGGUAGUCCACGCUGUAAACGGUGGGUACUAGGUGUGGGGUCCAUUCCACGGGUUCCGUGCCGUAGCUAACGCUUUAAGUACCCCGCCUGGGGAGUACGGCCGCAAGGCUAAAACUCAAAGGAAUUGACGGGGCCCCGCACAAGCGGCGGAGCAUGCGGAUUAAUUCGAUGCAACGCGUAGAACCUUACCUGGGUUUGACAUGGAUCGGGAGCGCUCAGAGAUGGGUGUGCCUCUUUUGGGGUCGGUUCACAGGUGGUGCAUGGCUGUCGUCAGCUCGUGUCGUGAGAUGUUGGGUUAAGUCCCGCAACGAGCGCAACCCUUGUUCACUGUUGCCAGCACGUUAUGGUGGGGACUCAGUGGAGACCGCCGGGGUCAACUCGGAGGAAGGUGGGGAUGACGUCAAGUCAUCAUGCCCCUUAUGUCCAGGGCUUCACGCAUGCUACAAUGGCUGGUACAGAGAGUGGCGAGCCUGUGAGGGUGAGCGAAUCUCGGAAAGCCGGUCUCAGUUCGGAUUGGGGUCUGCAACUCGACCUCAUGAAGUCGGAGUCGCUAGUAAUCGCAGAUCAGCAACGCUGCGGUGAAUACGUUCCCGGGGCU